rnacentral:rRNA from 1 species
AGAGUUUGAUCCUGGCUCAGAGCGAACGCUGGCGGCAGGCCUAACACAUGCAAGUCGAACGGACCCUUCGGGGUUAGUGGCGGACGGGUGAGUAACACGUGGGAACGUGCCUUUAGGUUCGGAAUAGCUCCUGGAAACGGGUGGUAAUGCCGAAUGUGCCCUUCGGGGGAAAGAUUUAUCGCCUUUAGAGCGGCCCGCGUCUGAUUAGCUAGUUGGUGAGGUAAUGGCUCACCAAGGCGACGAUCAGUAGCUGGUCUGAGAGGAUGACCAGCCACAUUGGGACUGAGACACGGCCCAAACUCCUACGGGAGGCAGCAGUGGGGAAUCUUGCGCAAUGGGCGAAAGCCUGACGCAGCCAUGCCGCGUGAAUGAUGAAGGUCUUAGGAUUGUAAAAUUCUUUCACCGGGGACGAUAAUGACGGUACCCGGAGAAGAAGCCCCGGCUAACUUCGUGCCAGCAGCCGCGGUAAU